rnacentral:rRNA from 1 species
UAGGGAAUCUUCCACAAUGGACGCAAGUCUGAUGGAGCAACGCCGCGUGAGUGAAGAAGGUUUUCGGAUCGUAAAGCUCUGUUGUUGGUGAAGAAGGAUAGAGGCAGUAACUGGUCUUUAUUUGACGGUAAUCAACCAGAAAGUCACGGCUAACUACGUGCCAGCAGCCGCGGUAAUACGUAGGCGGCAAGCGUUGUCCGGAUUUAUUGGGCGUAAAGCGAGCGCAGGCGGAAUGAUAAGUCUGAUGUGAAAGCCCACGGCUCAACCGUGGAACUGCAUCGGAAACUGUCAUUCUUGAGUGCAGAAGAGGAGAAUGGAAUUCCAUGUGUAGCGGUGGAAUGCGUAGAUAUAUGGAGGAACACCAGUGGCGAAGGCGGCUCUCUGGUCUGCAACUGACGCUGAGGCUCGAAAGCAUGGGUAGCGAACAGG